GAUGAACGCUGGCGGCGUGCCUAACACAUGCAAGUCGAGCGAACGGACGAGAAGCUUGCUUUUCUGAUGUUAGCGGCGGACGGGUGAGUAACACGUGGAUAACCUACCUAUAAGACUGGGAUGACUUCGGGAAACCGGAGCUAAUACCGGAUAAUAUUUUGAACCGCAUUGUUCAAAAGUGAAAGACGGUCUUGCUGUCAGUUAUAGAUGGAUCCGCGCUUCAUUAGCUAGUUGGUAAGGUCAAGGCUUACCAAGGCAACGAUGCAAAGCCGACCUCAAAGGGUGGUCGCCCACACGGGAUCGGAGACACGGCCGAGACUCUUGCGGUGGGACGCGGCAGAGACUCUUACGCGAUGGAGCAGAGCCUGAUAGUGGAACGCGGCGUGAGUGCUGAUCGUGUUCGGACGGUUAAGCUCUGUUAUUCGGGGAGAACAAAUGUGUAAGUAACUGUGCACAUCAUGACGGUACCUAGUCAAAAAGCCCCGGCUAACUACGUG
rnacentral:rRNA from 1 species